AUCAAAAACAUAGUCGGCAGACCAACUAUUUUGUAAUUGUCGAUAACUUCUGCCCGGUGUUCUUAAUAAACGGCCGCAGUACCUUGACUGUGCUAAGGUAGCAUAAUCAAUUGGCUAUUAAUUGUAGUCUAGUAUGAAUGAAGUAAUGGAUAGUAGCUAUAAUAAAAAAUUUUUUUUUAAUUUAAUGAACUGGUGAAAAUACCAGUGAUAAGAAAAAAGACGAGAAGACCCUUAGAGUUUUUAAUAAAGUUUGAUAAGACUUUGAUGAUACCAUCUUAAAGUAUAUAAUACAGAACACUUUUUUGUUGGGGCGACAAGAAAGCAUUGAAACCUUUCUAAUUACUCUAAAAUAUUAGCAUCAGAUCUGACGAUAUUUUUAUGAUUAGUUAAACUACCUUAGGGAUAACAGCAUAAUGAUAAAUAUUAGUUUGUGACCUCGAUGUUGGACUAGGGACUUGUACACUAACCGUGAUAAAAGAAUGUUCUGUUCGAACAAUAACCCCC
rnacentral:rRNA from 1 species